GACGAACGCUGGCGGCGUGCUUAACACAUGCAAGUCGAACGGAAAGGCCCUGCUUUUGUGGGGUGCUCGAGUGGCGAACGGGUGAGUAGCACGUGAGUAACCUGCCCUUGACUUUGGGAUAACUUCAGGAAACUGGGGCUAAUACCGGAUAGGAGCUCCUGCUGCAUGGUGGGGGUUGGAAAGUUUCGGCGGUUGGGGAUGGACUCGCGGCUUAUCAGCUUGUUGGUGGGGUAGUGGCUUACCAAGGCUUUGACGGGUAGCCGGCCUGAGAGGGUGACCGGCCACAUUGGGACUGAGAUACGGCCCAGACUCCUACGGGAGGCAGCAGUGGGGAAUAUUGCACAAUGGGCGGAAGCCUGAUGCAGCAACGCCGCGUGCGGGAUGACGGCCUUCGGGUUGUAAACCGCUUUCGCCUGUGACGAAGCGUGAGUGACGGUAAUGGGUAAAGAAGCACCGGCUAACUACGUGCCAGCAGCCGCGGUGAUACGUAGGGCGCGAGCGUUGUCCGGAUUUAUUGGGCGUAAAGGGCUCGUAGGUGGUUGAUCGCGUCGGAAGUGUAAUCUUGGGGCUUAACCCUGAGCGUGCUUUCGAUACGGGUUGACUUGAGGAAGGUAGGGGAGAAUGGAAUUCCUGGUGGAGCGGUGGAAUGCGCAGAUAUCAGGAGGAACACCAGUGGCGAAGGCGGUUCUCUGGGCCUUUCCUGACGCUGAGGAGCGAAAGCGUGGGGAGCGAACAGGCUUAGAUACCCUGGUAGCCCACGCUGUAAACGGUGGGUACUAGGUGUGGGGUCCAUUCCACGGGUUCCGUGCCGUAGCUAACGCUUUAAGUACCCCGCCUGGGGAGUACGGCCGCAAGGCUAAAACUCAAAGGAAUUGACGGGGCCCCGCACAAGCGGCGGAGCAUGCGGAUUAAUUCGAUGCAACGCGUAGAACCUUACCUGGGUUUGACAUGGAUCGGGAGUGCUCAGAGAUGGGUGUGCCUCUUUUGGGGUCGGUUCACAGGUGGUGCAUGGCUGUCGUCAGCUCGUGUCGUGAGAUGUUGGGUAAAGUCCCGCAACGAGCGCAACCCUUGUUCACUGUUGCCAGCACGUUAUGGUGGGGACUCAGUGGAGACCGCCGGGGUCAACUCGGAGGAAGGUGGGGAUGACGUCAAGUCAUCAUGCCCCUUAUGUCCAGGGCUUCACGCAUGCUACAAUGGCUGGUACAGAGAGUGGCGAGCCUGUGAGGGUGAGCGAAUCUCGGAAAGCCGGUCUCAGUUCGGAUUGGGGUCUGCAACUCGACCUCAUGAAGUCGGAGUCGCUAGUAAUCGCAGAUCAGCAACGCUGCGGUGAAUACGUUCCCGGGGCU
rnacentral:rRNA from 1 species